GGCUUAACACAUGCAAGUCGAGGGGCAGCAUGGUCUUAGCUUGCUAAGGCCGAUGGCGACCGGCGCACGGGUGAGUAACACGUAUCCAACCUGCCGUCUACUCUUGGACAGCCUUCUGAAAGGAAGAUUAAUACAAGAUGGCAUCAUGAGUCCGCAUGUUCACAUGAUUAAAGGUAUUCCGGUAGACGAUGGGGAUGCGUUCCAUUAGAUAGUAGGCGGGGUAACGGCCCACCUAGUCUUCGAUGGAUAGGGGUUCUGAGAGGAAGGUCCCCCACAUUGGAACUGAGACACGGUCCAAACUCCUACGGGAGGCAGCAGUGAGGAAUAUUGGUCAAUGGGCGAGAGCCUGAACCAGCCAAGUAGCGUGAAGGAUGACUGCCCUAUGGGUUGUAAACUUCUUUUAUAAAGGAAUAAAGUCGGGUAUGGAUACCCGUUUGCAUGUACUUUAUGAAUAAGGAUCGGCUAACUCCGUGCCAGCAGCCGCGGUAAUACGGAGGAUCCGAGCGUUAUCCGGAUUUAUUGGGUUUAAAGGGAGCGUAGAUGGAUGUUUAAGUCAGUUGUGAAAGUUUGCGGCUCAACCGUAAAAUUGCAGUUGAUACUGGAUAUCUUGAGUGCAGUUGAGGCAGGCGGAAUUCGUGGUGUAGCGGUGAAAUGCUUAGAUAUCACGAAGAACUCCGAUUGCGAAGGCAGCCUGCUAAGCUGCAACUGACAUUGAGGCUCGAAAGUGUGGGUAUCAAACAGGAUUAGAUACCCUGGUAGUCCACACGGUAAACGAUGAAUACUCGCUGUUUGCGAUAUACAGCAAGCGGCCAAGCGAAAGCGUUAAGUAUUCCACCUGGGGAGUACGCCGGCAACGGUGAAACUCAAAGGAAUUGACGGGGGCCCGCACAAGCGGAGGAACAUGUGGUUUAAUUCGAUGAUACGCGAGGAACCUUACCCGGGCUUAAAUUGCAGAUGAAUUACGGUGAAAGCCGUAAGCCGCAAGGCAUCUGUGAAGGUGCUGCAUGGUUGUCGUCAGCUCGUGCCGUGAGGUGUCGGCUUAAGUGCCAUAACGAGCGCAACCCUUGUUGUCAGUUACUAACAGGUUCCGCUGAGGACUCUGACAAGACUGCCAUCGUAAGAUGUGAGGAAGGUGGGGAUGACGUCAAAUCAGCACGGCCCUUACGUCCGGGGCUACACACGUGUUACAAUGGGGGGUACAGAGGGCCGCUACCACGCGAGUGGAUGCCAAUCCCCAAAACCUCUCUCAGUUCGGACUGGAGUCUGCAACCCGACUCCACGAAGCUGGAUUCGCUAGUAAUCGCGCAUCAGCCACGGCGCGGUGAAUACGUUCCCGGGCCUUGUACACACCGCCCGUCAAGCCAUGGGAGCCGGGGGUACCUGAAGUGCGUAACCGCGAGGAGCGCCCUAGGGUAAAACUGGUGACUGGGGCUAAGUCGUA
rnacentral:rRNA from 1 species